UUACUGUUUUCAUCGCUUUAUCUUCGGCUUUGAUGUCUGUAGAGACCAGUUUCUCACUCUUUAUGCAGCACUUGAGAAAUGUUUAGAGAGAGAGAGAGAGAGUUUUCAGUGAGAGAAAGCUUGGAGCUACAGAGAGAGAUAGGGAGAGAUUAGAGAGAGAGAGAGUUAGGGACAUUGGAAAUUAUUGUGGGUUUUGAUUGUUGAUGAAGAACUGCAAUCUCAGCUCAAAGGAGAGGUAGAGAGGCAAGAAAGUUCCGGGCCUUCAAUUGUGCCAUUUGGAUACUCUUCCAAGAACAGAAUUCUCCAGCACCUAAGUUUUUGCGUAGUUAUAAUUCUGUUGCUCAGAUCACACCUCCCCAGCUCGCCACUGUGUUCCUUAGCUCGCUUUGCCUUGACUGCGAUGCAUUUGGUGGCUGUAGCUUCAAGCAUUCCUGUUCAUGAAGUAGAAGACAGUUACAGGACUCCAGAUAAUAAAAAUUAGAUAAGCGCUGCCUUCAAUUGCAUGUCUUGAAUGGCGAUCUGUUUAUGUUCAUUUGAGAUCAUCAUGUUAGAAAACUGCACGUGAUCAUCCAAGUUUCAAUGCGAAAAAACUGUAACGUUACUCUGCAAGAUUCUGUGGGAGGAUACCCGAGGGAAAAUUUGACUGUGUCAUUAGGCAGAAACUUUGCACCACUGGCUUCAAGACCUGGUUUCUGCAGUGACACCUUGGAAGGCCAACCAUUGAAUACGAAUGGCUAUAUGUUUGGAGGGCAAAAUUUCCAAACAGAGCACUCUCAGCAAGCAUUCCUGGGUGAAACGACUGGCUAUGAUCCACAUGUCUUGAUGCUGAGAGGCUUGUCCGUCCUAAAAUCACAUCAAGAAUAUGCACCAGUAGACAGUCCAACCCUGACAACUAAUUCUGAGAGGUCUGAAAUAACUGAAUCGUCAACUGACUUCAACUUUCUCGGAGGAUCGCAGCAGCUUGUGAGGGGUCAGCAACAAUUAGACACUUCUCAACUUCAAUCGAUGCAGCAGUCUACAUAUAAUGACGUGCAGUUACUGCAGCAGCAAAUGAUGUUCAAGCAGAUGCAAGAUAUUCAUAGGCAGCAGCAGCAACUUCAGCAAUUUGGUGAUGCAAGGCAGCAGGGUUCUCAAAAUCAGAUCUCUGCUUUCCCUAGACAGUCUACGGGGGGUCAAUAUCCAUCCUUUAUUAAUGGAACAUCUCUCUCUGAUUCAUCAGAAAUGUUCAUGAACAGGACAUAUCUAGGUGCAUCUUCUGCAGCGCAAGGAGUAUACAACCAACUAAUGUUUUCGCCCGAGAAAGGCCAAUCUUUUCACUCAACAGUGUUGGUUCCACAGCAGCUUGAUGAAUCUAAUAAUAGAUCUCCUAACUACAGUGGAGGAGGUAGCAUGGGUCAAUAUUCUCAUCUCCAGGGAAUGGAUCGUGAUUCUUGCAGUUUGUUGACAAAGGCUAGUGGUCACUGCCAGAAGCCUACUUUGCAGCCUGUAGCUUUCAGUAGCUCCUCUAUGGGUAAUAUAAAUACUGUUUCUGCAGGCCAAACGGGCAGAUUCAAACAAGGCUUUGAAGGGAAAAAUUUAUUUGACCAAAUUCCAAAUCAAGGUUUGGAUGCCAGAAUGAGAUCAGAUAUCAUCCAGCAGAAGAAUUAUUCACAAACAAAUGGAUCGUUUCCUGAAUUUCAAGGAGAGCAAGAUGGAACUGGUUGGCUUGGUACCACACAGCAAAAAGUCACCCAACUGGACGCAUCUCAGUAUUUUGUUCCCUUGGAUCCGAUUGAACAAAAAAUUUUAUAUAAUAUGGAUCAAAAUAUGUGGGACACUUCUUUGGGAAAAUGUACAAAUGUCAGCAAUGGAAGUUUUGAAAAUAACCCAGUACAUUCAGAUUAUUCAAAUGCACUUCCUUCUAUUCAUAGUGGGAGCUGGAGUGCUCUCAUGCAGUCAGCUGUAGCCGAGGCUUCUAGUAGCGACACUGGGAUACAGGAGGAAUGGAGUGGAUUGACUUUUCAGAAUACAGAACUGUCAACUGAAAAUCAGCAUUCAAACAUAGUGGAUAGUAAAAAGGAGCAAUCAGCUUGGUAUGAAAACAGCAUGCAAAGUGCAUCUUCUUUAAGUUCAAGGCCAUAUGCAAACUUCAACGAUUCUGGUAUGAGUUCUAACUUUCCUGGGUUUCAGCAAUCAGGCAUCCAACCAUCUUUUGAGCAAACAGAACAUAUUUGUCCAGAAGACUCCCAUAAACUAAAUCAAAAUCCUUCUGAAAAAACUGGUGAAUGGUUAGACACUACGAGUGCACAAAAGCGACUUGGUGACCAAUCUCAACAUGUUCAACCACACGAGCACUUAAACAAGAGCUUGGCAAGUCAGUUGUAUGAGCAGCCUGAAUAUGACAGACCACAUCAGCAGAUAACAGCUUCUCAUGAUAAUGUUAAUCGACCACAUGGGAAACCACAAGGUGACUCAUUUAUUGACAAGCUUCUGCUGAAAAGUAACUCCCGUGAUCACUACAUGUUGAAACAAUUAAGCUCUCAAGGGCAGGGUCAUUUUCAGCAGUCAUUUCUUGAUGUUUCUUCCGACACUGUGAACUUGGAGAAGGGGCAGUUAACUGGUUUCCAGAGAAAUUUAAAUUCUUCAGAUGGUACUCCUAGGGGCCAUCUGGAUGCAUCUACCAACUUCGGCAAACCAACGGGCUCAAAUGGCCAAACUCCAUACAAACAAACAAGUGAAAAUGUGAAUGGGCAUCUUCAAAAUGUCGACCAUUCUAAGGAAAAUAGUGCCAUCCCCCAUUAUGGCUCUAUUGGCUCUAGUCCCUUGUCUAUGAUGUCUCAGGCAGUGUUUCCAAAUCCAUCUGUUUCUCAAAAUCACAAUCAGUCCACAUCUCAAGGAUUUCCUAUGAGAUUGCUUCAUCCAUCUCAACAGCUAUCAUAUUCAAAUAAGAUCUCUUCAUCUCGAGGUCUACCUCAAUUAUCAAGCAAUCCGGAUACAAGUCCGGUUAUUUCUGACUUAGCUCCCCCAUCUCCUAUUCAGUCUAUGCCUCCAGAUGAGUCAUCACAAAAUGUGCAUUGGGAUGAAAAUUCGCAUUGUUUGGGAGAGGCAGAAGCUGCUACUUCAUUAUUCCUGUCGCCCCAUUUUGUAACAGAUGAAAAUCAAGGGCAAUUCGUUUCUGGUGCACUUGCAUCACGUUUGUCUCCACAGGCUUCAUUGAAAAGUACUGCUUCUAGAUAUCCACAAUAUGGCCAAUCUUCCUCUCAUGAUACAUCUCGACACAUCGACAGGAAUAUGAGUGGAAAACAGUAUCCGGUUUUUGAGGCCCUGCCUCUCUCUCAGCCGUUAUCUAUGUCAAGAAUAGACCAACAGGGUGGGUUGUUGGCAAGGCAGCAAAAUGUUUGGUUAAAUAACACAAGCCAGCAACAUAAUGCAACUUCAUUGGCUCCACUGGGAUUCAACGAUCAAUCUUCUAAAAAAUGUGGACUCCAAUUACUGGAAUCUGACAUGAUUCCUACAAAUUCACUGAAUUAUGACCAUAAGGAUGAGGUACCAGAGCAGAGGACUAAGUCGGAUGUAUAUAAUACUUUACUGGCUGAUGGAGUGGCAAGGAAGAUUACUAGUACAAAUGCGUUUCCCUCUGGCUUAUUACUGGCCCAUCCACAUCAGCAAGAUCUAAAUAGAGUACAAAUGGAGGAAAAAAAUUUAACCCCCUCUGAAAGAGAUUUUCCAUUUGAUAACUUUUCUAAAUUGCCUCAUGUUGUUGGUCAACAAUACUCGCUUCAAAAAGUUCAACCAAUGAAGAAUGUGGAGACUGAGCCAAAGGGAGUUCAAGAUGCGCAACAGGUAAAUAUUAUGUCAAAAGAGAAUUUAACAAGAGAAGAUGGGAAGCAUGGACAAGGUUUUGCAUACGAGAUCAACUCAUUGCCAUCUGAAAAUAGAAAAAUGCUAAACCUGUUUGCAAGAGGAGGAAGAGAAGAUUAUAAUGUGACAUCUUUGUCUGAGAAUCCACCAAAUGCAUGUUCAAGGGGCUUUACUUCAGACGGCCAAAGUGAGGCUGUGAAUGAGUUUAAUAGAAAAAAUAUGGAAGGUAAUGAUGAAGAAAAUUCUCAGAUGAAUCCACUUUCUGCAUCUUCCUGGUUUAAGUUCAGAAAUGGGCAGAUGCCUUCAAUGUACAAUGAGCUGCUUCCAAAGCAACCUGGUGGAAACUUCUCUCUCUCGAAGCCUUCGGAAAAUUUUUGCAAACUGUCAACUCUGGAUGGAACAGAUUCUGCAGAUGUUAAUCGGAGUGGUGGAGUUUGGUCUGCUGCUGCUGCAACCACGGUGCCAACUGACAUAACAGGCCCUUACAAAUUGCCUUCUAUUGUCACUGUUAAAACUGCAGACACGUUGAGACCUAAAAAACGUAAAUUUGACUCAUCUGAGUUUCAACCAUGGCAUCUAGAAGUCCAAGGUUCUCAAAGGAUUGUGAAUAUCAGUGUGGCAGAACAAGACUGGGCAGAAACCACAAACCGGCUGACAGAAAAAAUGGUAAAUGAAGUUGAGAUGGUUGAAGAUGGAUAUGUGAUGCUUCGAUCGAAGAGAAGGCUUAUAACGACAACCCGGCUGUUACAGCAGUUAGUUUGUCCUGCACCAUCAUCCAUUCUCUCAGCAGAUGCCUCUUCCUUCCAUGAUAGCGUGAUAUACUUUAUCUUAAGAGCGUCAUUAGGGGAUACGUGCAGCCUGAUGUGUGGUCAAAGAAAUGAUUUUCAUGUCUCAACACUUGAUAACAGAAAUGUUGUGUCUGAGGAACGUGAAACUGUAAAACGUACUGGCAAUAAGCACAUAGAGACUACUGUGGAAAGAUUCUACGCCCGAGCCGGGAAACUGGAAAGUGACUUGCAAAGAUUGGACAGGACAGCCUCCAUGGUGGACUUGAUGGUUGAAUGUCAAGAGUUGGAACGAUUUUCUGUCAUUAAUCGUUUUGCAAGGUUUCACAUUCGUCAAGUAGAACUCUCUGGAAAUGCUUCUUCAAAAUCAUAUCCCCAAAGAUAUGUCACUGCACACCCCCUUCCUAAUCAUCUUCCAGAGGGUGUACAAUGCCUUUCACUGUAGUAAUUAGUUAAUUGGUCCCCCACAGCUAAUUCCCUGGUCAUCUACAUACAAACCAUAUCCUGCCCCUACUUUUUGACUACAAUCUCUGGCAUUGACAUGAUGUGGUACUGUAGAAGAAAGAGGAUACAAGAAUAGGUUCAUAUCUUAGCAGCUCUGAUAAUUGAGGCCAUUCGUUCUUUUGUCGAAUCAAGGCCAAACCGUUGCUUAUUUUGAUGAAGUACAUAGUGGUAUCAUGUAUCAUGUAAAUUUUCAUGAAUAUCUCAGGUGAACAAGUCGUUCCGAAGCGAACGAUUCAGAGAGGAUGAUGUGUUGGGUUUAUUAUUUCAAAGAACUGGGGAAAUCAGUAUGGAAGUUUGCAUCAAGAAGACCAAGCGAAUAGAAUAAUCAAAAAGGUUAAAGUUAUGGCUUUAAAAACUCCCUUCCUUUGUAUUUUUCUGUUUAUUUUCUUUCCUUUUCAUUGGUCACGUGUAAGCUUGUGUCCACCUUCACCAUCACUUGUUCAUUUAUUGGGAAACACAAACAUUGACUGUUUCCCAAGUGCCAAAAGGGAACACAUUUAUGAAGGAAUAAAGGACAAGAAGAAGAUAUUCUUCUUGCAUUCCUAAAUAUAUUAUUAUUGUCAUUAUUUGUAAAAGGUUCUUUUCUGUGGGAAAGAUUCUGAUUGGUUGGUUGACUGAAAGCAGCUAACUAUGUCAAUGUCAGUAUCUGAUUGAACUCAUGAUUUGGUGAUGUGAGAGGAAAGCUGAUAUCAUAUCAUUGUCAAAGACAGUCAGAAGGAAUAACUCUGGAUUGAUGAAACAAAUCCCAAACCAUGUCCAAUCCUAAUCUUUUCUGUAUGAAUAUUAUAAUAAAUGUUCCUUCCAGGUGUGUGGGGGCUGUUUGUUUGUACGAGGAAGCUUACUCACCUUUGCCGACAAAUUGGACCAGUUCUUCAAGUACACAAAGUUGCACAAUGCCCUCUGCCACCAAUUCAUCUGACUUUGCUGCCUGUGAUGCUGCUGCUGCCCUUCAGCCUUCCGAGACUGUUGGUACUAAUGACUUUCUGAUGCCCUGUUUUCACCUCUUAACAUUUGAUUUUCUUGAACAGUUUGACCUUUGCUUCAAUAUGGCAUAGAACGCCAUGAAAAUCAAAGGUAAUUUGCUUCU